rnacentral:rRNA from 1 species
UACGUAGGGUGCGAGCGUUGUCCGGAAUUAUUGGGCGUAAAGAGCUCGUAGGCGGUCUGUCGCGUCUGCUGUGAAAACUCAGGGCUUAACCCUGAGCUUGCAGCGGGUACGGGCAGACUAGAGUGCGGUAGGGGAGACUGGAAUUCCUGGUGUAGCGGUGAAAUGCGUAGAUAUUGGGAGGAACACCAGUGGCGAAGGCGGCUCACUGGACUGGUACUGACGCUGAGGCGCGAAAGCGUGGGGAGCAAACAGG